GCAUCCGUAGCUCAGCUGGAUAGAGUCGGCUACGAACCGAGCGGUCGGAGGUUCGAAUCCUCCCGGAUGCACCA
rnacentral:tRNA from 1 species